rnacentral:rRNA from 1 species
UACGAACCGUCCAAACGUUAUUCGGAUUUAUUGGGCUUAAAGGGUAUGUAGGCGGCCCUUCAAGUCGGGUGUGAAAGCCCUCGGCUCAACCGAGGAACUGCGCCCGAUACUGUGGGGCUCGAGGGAGACAGAGGUAAGCGGAACUGCGAGUGUAGAGGUGAAAUUCGUAGAUAUUCGCAAGAACACCAGUGGCGAAGGCGGCUUACUGGUCCGGUUCUGACGCUGAGGCGCGAAAGCGUGGGGAGCAAACAGG